GAAAUGCGAUAAUUAAUGUGAAUUGCAGAAUUCAGUGAAUCAUCGAGUCUUUGAACGCACAUUGCGCCCCCUGGUAUUCCGGGGGGCAUGCCUGUCCGAGCGUCAUUGCUGCCCUCAAGCACGGCUUGUGUGUUGGGCUUCCGUCCCUGGCAACGGGGACAGGCCCAAAAGGCAGUGGCGGCACCAUGUCUGGUCCUCGACCGUAUGGGGCUUUGUCACCCGCUCCCGUAGGUCCAGCUGGCAGCUAGCCUCGCAACCAAUCUUUUUAACCAGGUUGACCUCGGAUCAGGUAGGGAUACCCGCUGAACUUAAGC
rnacentral:misc_RNA from 1 species